CGCGGCCUAUCAGCUUGUUGGUGAGGUAACGGCUCACCAAGGCAUUGACGGGUAGCUAGUCUGAGAGGACGAAUAGCCACACUGGGACUGAGACACGGCCCAGACUUCUACGGAAGGCAGCAGCAGGGAAUCUUGCACAAUGGACGAAAGUCUGAUGCAGCGACGCCGCGUGGGGGAUGAAGGCCCUAGGGUCGUAAACCCCUUUCAGCAGGGACGAAAAUGACGGUACCUGCAGAAGAAGCUCCGGCCAACUACGUGCCAGCAGCCGCGGUAAGACGUAGGGGGCGAGCGUUGUCCGGAUUUAUUGGGCGUAAAGAGCUCGUAGGCGGUUGCGUAAGUCGGAUGUGAAAACUCAGGGCUCAACCCUGAGACGCCAUCCGAUACUGCGCUGACUUGAAUCCAGUAGGGGAGUGUGGAAUUCCUGGUGUAGCGGUGAAAUGCGCAGAUAUCAGGAGGAACACCUAUGGCGAAGGUAGCACUCUGGGCUGGUAUUGACGCUGAGGAGCGAAAGCAUGGGUAGCAAACAGGAUUAGAUACCCUGGUAGUCCAUGCCGUAAACGUUGGGCACUAGGUGUGGGGACUUUCAACGGUUUCCGUGCCGAAGCUAACGCAUUAAGUGCCCCGCCUGGGGAGUACGG
rnacentral:rRNA from 1 species